UUAUUUAUAAUAACGAGUCGAACCUGCCCAGUGAUUUAUUUAACGGCCGCAGUACUCUGACUGUGCAAAGGUAGCAUAAUCAUUUGCCUUAUAAUUAAAGGCUAGUAUGAAUGGUUUGACAAGAAUAACGCUGUCUCUUUCGAAUUUUAUAGAAUUUGGUUUUUAGGUGAGGAAACCUAAAUAAAAUUAAAAGACAAGAAGACCCUAUCGAGCUUUAAAUAAUUUCUUUGUUAUUAGGUAAUACCGGUUUCAGUGAAAAAUUUUGGUUGGGGCGACUAAGGAACACAAAAAGCUUCCUAUAAAAUAUAUCUACGUUUAAGUUUUGAUCCAAAAUGUUUGAUUGACAGAAUUAGUUACCGUAGGGAUAACAGCAUAAUUUUUUUUAAGAGUUCUUAUCGAAAAAAAAGUUUGUGACCUCGAUGUUGGACUAGGGUAUCCAGAAAGGUGCAGAAGCCUUCGAUGGUUGGUCUGUUCGACCA
rnacentral:rRNA from 1 species